GAGCCGGUAGCUCAGCCGGUAGAGCACCGGACUUUUAAUCCGGGUGUCGCGGGUUCGAUUCCCGCCCGGCUCACCA
rnacentral:tRNA from 1 species